rnacentral:pre_miRNA from 1 species
UUUGGUAUUUAAAAGGUGGAUAUUCCUUCUAUGUUUAUGUUCUUUGUGGUUAAACAUAGAGGAAAUUCCACAUUUUCAGUAUCAAA